rnacentral:rRNA from 1 species
UACGUAGGGUGCAAGCGUUGUCCGGAAUUAUUGGGCGUAAAGAGCUCGUAGGCGGUCUGUCGCGUCUGCUGUGAAAACUCAGGGCUUAACCCUGAGCUUGCAGUGGGUACGGGCAGACUAGAGUGCGGUAGGGGAGACUGGAAUUCCUGGUGUAGCGGUGAAAUGCGCAGAUAUCAGGAGGAACACCGGUGGCGAAGGCGGGUCUCUGGGCCGUAACUGACGCUGAGGAGCGAAAGCGUGGGGAGCGAACAGG